rnacentral:rRNA from 1 species
UACGUAGGGUGCAAGCGUUAAUCGGAAUUACUGGGCGUAAAGCGUGCGCAGGCGGUUAUACAAGACAGUUGUGAAAUCCCCGGGCUUAACCUGGGAAUUGCAUCUGUGACUGUAUGGCUAGAGUGUGUCAGAGGGGGGUAGAAUUCCACGUGUAGCAGUGAAAUGCGUAGAUAUGUGGAGGAAUACCGAUGGCGAAGGCAGCCCCCUGGGAUAACACUGACGCUCAUGCACGAAAGCGUGGGGAGCAAACAGG